UCCCUCGAGCCGGAUUUGACCUAAGGAUCACCGCUUAAUUACAUCUACAGUCCUCCGCUCUGCCAACUGAGCUAUCGAGGG